CCGACCUUAGCUCAGUUGGUAGAGCGGAGGACUGUAGUUGGAGUCAUCCAAAUAGGUAUCCUUAGGUCGCUGGUUCGAAUCCGGCAGGUCGGA
rfam:Lupinus angustifolius cultivar Tanjil contig_44167, whole genome shotgun sequence.